rnacentral:miRNA from 1 species
UCACAGACAAGAACUCCCAGGGUGG